rnacentral:rRNA from 1 species
GAGUUUGAUCAUGGCUCAGGACGAACGCUGGCGGCGUGCCUAACACAUGCAAGUCGAGCGAGGAAGCCCCUUCGGGGGUGGAAUAGCGGCGGACGGGUGAGUAACACGUGGGUAACCUGCCUCAAAGAGGGGGAUAGCCUCCCGAAAGGGAGAUUAAUACCGCAUAGAAGGUAAAAAUCGCAUGAUAAAUACCUUAAAGGAGCAAUCCGCUUUGAGAUGGGCCCGCGUCGCAUUAGCUAGUUGGAGGGAUAAAAGCCCCCCAAGGCGACGAUGCGUAGCCGACCUGAGAGGGUGAACGGCCACAUUGGAACUGAGAUACGGUCCAGACUCCUACGGGAGGCAGCAGUGGGGAAUAUUGCACAAUGGGGGAAACCCUGAUGCAGCAACGCCGCGUGAGUGAAGAAGGUUUUCGGAUCGUAAAGCCCUGUCAUCCGGGACGAUAAUGACGGUACCGGAAGAGGAAGCCACGGCUAACUACGUGCCAGCAGCCGCGGUAAUAC